CGCGGGGGCAACCCUGGCGACGAGUGGCGGACGGGUGAGUAAUACGUAGGAAUCUACCCAUGAGUGGGGGACAACCCGGGGAAGCCCGGGCUAAUACCGCAUACGCUCUACGGAGGAAAGCGGGGGAUCGUAAGACCUCGCGCUGAUGGAUGAGCCUACGUCGGAUUAGCUAGUUGGUAGGGUAAAGGCCUACCAAGGCGACGAUCCGUAGCUGGUCUGAGAGGACGAUCAGCCACACUGGGACUGAGACACGGCCCAGACUCCUACGGGAGGCAGCAGUGGGGAAUAUUGGACAAUGGGGGCAACCCUGAUCCAGCAAUGCCGCGUGUGUGAAGAAGGCCUGCGGG
rnacentral:rRNA from 1 species